rnacentral:rRNA from 1 species
UACGUAGGGGGCGAGCGUUGUCCGGAGUUACUGGGCGUAAAGGGCGCGCAGGCGGUCUGCUAAGUUCAGAGGGACAGUCACCAGCUUAACUGGUGAAGGACUUUGAAAACUGGCGGACUUGAGAGCGAAAGAGGAACAUGGAAUUCCGGGUGGAGCAGUGAAAUGCGUAGAGAUCCGGAGGAACACCAAGGCGAAGGCAGUGUCCUGGGUCGCAUCUGACGCUGAGGCGCGAAAGCCAGGGGAGC